CAGAGGGGGCAAGCGUUGUUCGGAAUUACUGGGCGUAAAGGGCGCGUAGGCGGCCUGCUAAGUCGAACGUGAAAUCCCUGGGCUCAACCCAGGAACUGCGUCCGAUACUGGUUGGCUUGAAUCCGGGAGAGGGAUGCGGAAUUCCAGGUGUAGCGGUGAAAUGCGUAGAUAUCUGGAGGAACACCGGUGGCGAAGGCGGCAUCCUGGACCGGCAUUGACGCUGAGGCGCGAAAGCCAGGGGAGCAAACGGGAUUAGAUACCCCGGUAGUCCUGGCCCUAAACGAUGAAUGCUUGGUGUGGCGGGUAUCGAUCCCUGCCGUGCCGAAGCUAACGCAUUAAGCAUUCCGCCUGGGGAUACGGUCGCAAGGCUG
rnacentral:rRNA from 1 species